AGAGUUUGAUCAUGGCUCAGAAUCAACGCUGGCGGCGUGCCUCAGACAUGCAAGUCGAACGAUUUAAAGCUCUCUUCGGAGAGUGUAUAGAGUGGCGCACGGGUGAGUAACACGUAAGUAAUCUACCCUCGAGUGGGGAAUAACAACCGGAAACGGUUGCUAAUACCGCAUAAUGCAGCGGCACCGCAAGGUGACAGUUGUUAAAGAUUUAUCGCUUGAGGAGGAGCUUGCGGCAGAUUAGCUAGUUGGUAGGGUAACGGCUUACCAAGGCUACGAUCUGUAACCGGUCUAAGAGGACGUCGGUCACACUGACACUGAAUAACGGGUCAGACUCCUACGGGAGGCAGCAGUCGGAAUUUUGGGCGAUGGGCGAAAGCCUGACCCAGCAACGCCGCGUGAAGGAUGAAGUAUUUCGGUAUGUAAACUUCGAAAGAAUAGGAAGAAUUAAUGACGGUACUAUUUAUAAGGUCCGGCUAACUACGUG
rnacentral:rRNA from 1 species